rnacentral:rRNA from 1 species
GAUGAACGCUGGCGGCGUGCUUAACACAUGCAGGUCGAACGGAAAGGCCCAAGCUUGCUUGGGUACUCGAGUGGCGAACGGGUGAGUAACACGUGGGUGAUCUGCCCUGCACUUCGGGAUAAGCCUGGGAAACUGGGUCUAAUACCGGAUAGGACCACAUUUUGGAUGGUGUGGUGGAAAGUUUUUCGGUGUGGGAUGAGCUCGCGGCCUAUCAGCUUGUUGGUGGGGUAAUGGCCUACCAAGGCGUCGACGGGUAGCCGGCCUGAGAGGGUGUACGGCCACAUUGGGACUGAGAUACGGCCCAGACGCCUACGGGAGGCAGCAGGGGGGAAUAUUGCACAAUGGGCGCAAGCCCGAUGCAGCGACGCCGCGUGGGGGAUGACGGCCUUCGGGUUGAAAACGCCUUUCGCUAGGGACGAAGCGUUAUGUGACGGUACCUGGAGAAGAAGCACCGGCUAACUACGUG